rnacentral:rRNA from 1 species
GCUUACGGCCAUACCAGCCUGAAUGCGCUGGAUCUCGUCAGAUCUCGGAAGCUAAGCAGGGUUGGGCCUGGUUAGUACUUGGAUGGGAGACUUCGUGGGAAUACCAGGUGCUGUUAGCA